GAUGAUGUUAAAAUUUGUCUUCUAGCAUGUUUCAAUAUAAAGCUUGGUUUGCCAGUAGCCAGAGCAGUACAAGGCAGAAUUGCUUCUGAGUUUUAUUAUCUAUUAAUUAUGUAUUAUCAUUUAUUAAUAAUUUAUACUGUUUUUUGGAAAGACGUAGGAGCUUGGAGCUAGUUAAACAUGCCUAAGAAUGUCAUCUGUACAAUGAAGGGUCAAAAUAAGCAAGAACUGCACUCAGGGGUCAGCACAAAUAUGGUCCUGCACCUUGUUGUUUCUGACAAAAACGAUGGGAGGGAAGGGAACCACAGCUGCAAUUUGCUCAUGAACAAUUGAAAAUACAGCAAGUUACUGUAGAAGUAGUGGGUGCAGUGGCACAGAUGCAUGUUGUUCCACGAGGGUGAGUUUCACAAUGUGCACAGCAACAGCUGUGCUGGGAUGUGUCUGCAAGAGGGACCAUGAGCUGCUGGGUGCUAAGAAAAGGCAGUGACGUGUAGGAAGGACCUGCAUGCGAGGUGCUUUAGUUAAUUCCAAAUUCUGAUCUCAGCUUUUUCACUGACAUUUCUGUCUGCAUUAAUCUCUUUAUCCGUGAUAUUUCAGACUGGAGAGCCCUAGCCAAAAUCCCACUUACAAGCACUGCCCACUCUUAUUCUGUUAGGGUCUGGAUGGAAGGAGCCCACAUCUCAUCUGCCAUUAAAGUGAUGUCUUUAGAGUUGAUUCCAUUUUCAGUGCAUUUCUGCACUAUUUCUAGAAGCCAACGGAUUUGCUGAGGGGCUGAGCUGGAGGAUAACCAAGGUUUUUGUAAUCUUGAAAUUUUGCAUCUGGAGAUGUUUCUCUUGCUUUAUUUUUUUUUUUUCUUUUUUUUUUCCUGGCAAAUAUUUCUGCUGAAAUAGUACCCAGAGAGUCUCAGUCAGACAGACUUCAGACCCCCAGACAGUAUCUCAUGACCCUUUGCUUUGGUUGGUGAUAUUUACCCGUAUUUUAGUUAACUUUUUGUUAUCAUUUUAAGUUACCCGUUUCCUUCAAGAACCAUAAUUUAUUGGUGAAACUAUCUUAAAUAGGCAACCCUUAAGCCCCUUGUUCCUCUUCCUCUGUAAGGUUGAAUGAUUUUUAACAAUACAGAAUACUAGAAUAGGCCACUGCAGACUUCACUAAUCAUGUGUAUCAGAUAUUCAACAUCCUAACAUCCUUUCUUCCUGAAGGAAGUGAAUUGGGCAUCCUUGACUUUGGCUACAUAAAUAAUGAGGGUAUUGCUUCUAUUUUGUAGGAGUCAACAUAAUGUUGUAGGACACAACAAAGUGUCAAAAAACAAAUGCACUUUAUAAAAAAGAUGUUAUUGUUUGGGCUAAGGGAAUGUAUUACUUCACUAAUAGUAAUAUUUAUCGAAUGUAUGCACUAUUUUAUAAUUGCAGUAAGUGAAUAAAUUGGCAAUGCAAUGAAGACAGUGUUUUCCAGGGCUACCAGAUAACUGCACCAUGAAAAGUUUUAAGAAUUUCCUUGGAGAUCUUGACCUUUUUAAGCUGUAUGACUUGGUCAAG
ensembl:lncRNA